rnacentral:rRNA from 1 species
GGGUGCGAUCGUACCAGCACUAAUGCACCGGAUCCCAUCAGAACUCCGAAGUUAAGCGUGCUUGGGCGAGAGUAGUACUUGGUUAGGUGACCUCCUGGGAAGUGCUCGUGUUGCACCCC